ACUGGGUUUUUGCUACCUAACGAGGUUUUAACGAGGCACCAAUCCUGGGAUGAUCAUACUUUGUUGAGUUCACUACUUUCGUCCUGUUUGAUGUUUGUUUAAGACAUUAUACAUACUUUCACUUUUUUCCUUAAUCUAUGGGUUUUCCCCAUACCUUGGGUUUUACCAUAGCGAUGUUUUGUGAGUAUUACUACCAAUGUAUACUUUCUUAAAUUUGAGACUCACAUUCACCCGUUGUGCCGCUGACUUCAUCAACUAUUCUACCUUAUUUGAUGAAGAUCUGAUGUAAUGGUUUGUUGAGUAUUUACACACUCAAGGGGGAGUGUUGCAAUCAUAUUUAGAAUAGGAAUGUGAUUGUGUAAAUCCUAUCCUACUGAAUCUAGGAAUAUCUCUUAUAUUCCUAUUAGGAGUUAAUUACCUAUUAAGAGUUGUAAUCUUAAAAGAGUAAGGAUUUUACCUAUCACAAUUAAAUCUCUCUCUUCUCUCUCUCAUUGCCGCCGGCUCCCUCUCUCUAUUCCCUUAGAAUAGCUAAGUUAAAUAGGCCUACAACAGAUGUGACGUUUAAAAUAUGUCUUAUUUUUAGUUUCAACUAGGUAUCAUCAUGAAGAGGGUAUGUUUAUCCAUAUUUAACAAAUUCAAAUAUCAUGCACAUUUCUGAAUACGCAAGUAAACAUACUGUAAGAGUAUUUAAAUACUAAUUUUAAGACUAGAAUCGCUUUUUUUUUUUUUUUUAAUUUCUUUAGUGCAAGUAUUUUCUUUGUUCUCAUACACAUUUCUGAUAAGUUAACAUAAAAUACUAUAAUUUGGAUGGAAUAAGAGUCAAUAUACAAUAGUUCUUUUUGGUGUUUUUGGUCAAUUAUUUUAUUGAUUUACAAUGCCCAAUGCUUGUAAAUAUUUGCUUUGCGUACAGAAGAGGCUUAAGGGGAAAUAAUAUAUAAACUUGGACAUGGGCGUAAUUAAGGUCAAAUAUAGACUACUACUAGAGCUAUAAGUCUUCAUCCCUUCACUUCUAAUUAAUAUUGGGAUAUACAUCGAAUCAGCAAAAUUACUAUUUUGAGUUAUCCAAGGAGAGUGAGCGUGAAGCAAUG
rnacentral:lncRNA from 1 species